rnacentral:rRNA from 1 species
CUUGACCGCUGGCGGCCGGCCUAACACAUGCAAGUCGCGCGGAUGAAGCGGGCUUGCUCCUGUAUUCCGCGGCGGACGGGUGCGUAAUGCCUAGGAAUCUGCCCGGUCGAGGGGUUCAAGUCCGGCCACGGGCACUACUUCCGCAGCCGUCCGUACGGAGGACGCGGGGGACCUACGCCCCGCCCGCUAUCAGCUGAGCCCAGGUCGGAUUAGCUAGUUGGUGGGGUAAAGGCCUACCAAGGCGACGAUCCGUAACUGGUCUGAGAGGAAGAUCAGUCACACUGGAACUGAGACACGGUCCAGACUCCUACGGGAGGCAGCAGUGGGGAAGUUUAGACAAUGUGCGAAAGCCUGCACCAGCCAUGCCGCGUGUGUGAAGAAGGUCUCCGGAUUGUAAAGCGCUCUAAGUGGGGAGGAAGGGCAAUAAGUUAAUACCUUGCUGUUUUGACGUUACCAACAGAAUAAGCACCGGCUAACUUCGUG